rnacentral:rRNA from 1 species
GAGGGAAACCGAGUCUUAAUUGGGCGUUAAGUUGCAGGGUAUAGACCCGAAACCCGGUGAUCUAGCCAUGGGCAGGUUGAAGGUUGGGUAACACUAACUGGAGGACCGAACCGACUAAUGUUGAAAAAUUAGCGGAUGACCUGUGGCUGGGGGUGAAAGGCCAAUCAAACCGGGAGAUAGCUGGUUCUCCCCGAAAGCUAUUUAGGUAGCGCCUCGUGAAUUCAUCUCCGGGGGUAGAGCACUGUUUCGGCUAGGGGGCCAUCCCGGCUUACCAACCCGAUGCAAACUGCGAAUACCGGAGAAUGUUAUCACGGGAGACACACGGCGGGUGCUAACGUCCGUCGUGAAGAGGGAAACAACCCAGACCGCCAGCUAAGGUCCCAAAGUCAUGGUUAAGUGGGAAACGAUGUGGGAAGGCCCAGACAGCCAGGAUGUUGGCUUAGAAGCAGCCAUCAUUUAAAGAAAGCGUAAUAGCUCACUGGUCGAGUCGGCCUGCGCGGAAGAUGUAACGGGGCUAAACCAUGCACCGAAGCUGCGGCAGCGAACGUAUCACCCAAGACAACUUUACGGAGUUGACGAUUGACGGAGCGAAGCGACGUCAAAGCGUUCAUUAAAGUCGAGUUGGCUUAGGGAUACGUUCGUUGGGUAGGGGAGCGUUCUGUAAGCCUGUGAAGGUGUGUCGUGAGGCAUGCUGGAGGUAUCAGAAGUGCGAAUGCUGACAUAAGUAACGAUAAAGCGGGUGAAAAGCCCGCUCGCCGGAAGACCAAGGGUUCCUGUCCAACGUUAAUCGGGGCAGGGUGAGUCGACCCCUAAGGCGAGGCCGAAAGGCGUAGUCGAUGGGAAACGGGUUAAUAUUCCCGUACUUGGUGUUACUGCGAAGGGGGGACGGAGAAGGCUAUGUUGGCCGGGCGACGGUUGUCCCGGUUUAAGCGUGUAGGUGUGUGUUCCAGGUAAAUCCGGUUCACUUUAACACUGAGGCGUGACGACGAGGCACUACGGUGCUGAAGCAACAAAUGCCCUGCUUCCAGGAAAAGCCUCUAAGCAUCAGGUAACACGAAAUCGUACCCCAAACCGACACAGGUGGUCAGGUAGAGAAUACCAAGGCGCUUGAGAGAACUCGGGUGAAGGAACUAGGCAAAAUGGUGCCGUAACUUCGGGAGAAGGCACGCUGACACGUAGGUGAAGUGAUUUACUCAUGGAGCUGAAGUCAGUCGAAGAUACCAGCUGGCUGCAACUGUUUAUUAAAAACACAGCACUGUGCAAACACGAAAGUGGACGUAUACGGUGUGACGCCUGCCCGGUGCCGGAAGGUUAAUUGAUGGGGUCAGCGUAAGCGAAGCUCCUGAUCGAAGCCCCGGUAAACGGCGGCCGUAACUAUAACGGUCCUAAGGUAGCGAAAUUCCUUGUCGGGUAAGUUCCGACCUGCACGAAUGGCGUAAUGAUGGCCAGGCUGUCUCCACCCGAGACUCAGUGAAAUUGAACUCGCUGUGAAGAUGCAGUGUACCCGCGGCAAGACGGAAAGACCCCGUGAACCUUUACUAUAGCUUGACACUGAACAUUGAGCCUUGAUGUGUAGGAUAGGUGGGAGGCUUUGAAGUGUGGACGCCAGUCUGCAUGGAGCCGACCUUGAAAUACCACCCUUUAAUGUUUGAUGUUCUAACGUGGACCCGUAAUCCGGGUUGCGGACAGUGUCUGGUGGGUAGUUUGACUGGGGCGGUCUCCUCCUAAAGAGUAACGGAGGAGCACGAAGGUUGGCUAAUCCUGGUCGGACAUCAGGAGGUUAGUGCAAUGGCAUAAGCCAGCUUGACUGCGAGCGUGACGGCGCGAGCAGGUGCGAAAGCAGGUCAUAGUGAUCCGGUGGUUCUGAAUGGAAGGGCCAUCGCUCAACGGAUAAAAGGUACUCCGGGGAUAACAGGCUGAUACCGCCCAAGAGUUCAUAUCGACGGCGGUGUUUGGCACCUCGAUGUCGGCUCAUCACAUCCUGGGGCUGAAGUAGGUCCCAAGGGUAUGGCUGUUCGCCAUUUAAAGUGGUACGCGAGCUGGGUUUAGAACGUCGUGAGACAGUUCGGUCCCUAUCUGCCGUGGGCGCUGGAGAACUGAGGGGGGCUGCUCCUAGUACGAGAGGACCGGAGUGGACGCAUCACUGGUGUUCGGGUUGUCAUGCCAAUGGCACUGCCCGGUAGCUAAAUGCGGAAGAGAUAAGUGCUGAAAGCAUCUAAGCACGAAACUUGCCCCGAGAUGAGUUCUCCCUGAGACUUAGAGUCUCCUGAAGGAACGUUGAAGACGACGACGUUGAUAGGCCGGGUGUGUAAGCGCAGCGAUGCGUUGAGCUAACCGGUACUAAUGAACCGUGAGGCUUAACCUUACAACGCCGAAG